AUUGAACGCUGGCGGCAGGCUUGACACAUGCAAGUCGAGCGGAGUGAUGGUGCUUGCACUAUCACUUAGCGGCGGACGGGUGAGUAAUGCUUAGGAAUCUGCCUAUUAGUGGGGGACAACAUCUCGAAAGGGAUGCUAAUACCGCAUACGUCCUACGGGAGAAAGCAGGGGAUCACUUGUGACCUUGCGCUAAUAGAUGAGCCUAAGUCGGAUUAGCUAGUUGGUGGGGUAAAGGCCUACCAAGGCGACGAUCUGUAGCGGGUCUGAGAGGAUGGUCGGCCACACUGGGACUGAAACACGGCCCAGACUCCUACGGGAGGCAGCAGUGGGGAAUAUUGGACAAUGGGGGGAACCCUGAUCCAGCCAUGCCGCGUGUGUGAAGAAGGCCUUAUGGUUGUAAAGCACUUUAAGCGAGGAGGAGGCUCUUUUGGUUAAUACCCAAGAUGAGUGGACGUUACUCGCAGAAUAAGCACCGGCUAACUCUGUGCCAGCCGCCGCAGUAA
rnacentral:rRNA from 1 species